GAAAACUUGUUUGCCAAACCCAACCUCACGGAAACUGGGCGGGGCGGGGCAAAGCGGCUGGAGAAGGAAACAGCAACCCACUCCAGUAUUCUUGCUUGAAAAAUCCCACGGACAGAGGAGCUUGCCGGGUUACACUCCAUGGGGUCGCAAAGAGUCGGACACAACUGGAGAGACUUAGCACGCGCGCAGGGCAAGGCGGGCUUGAAAGCCUGUUUAACGGGUGCCCUUCAGACUCUGAGAGAAGAGACUGGCUUCAGCCAGGUCACUCGGGAAACAGCGGCAAAGGCGGAACUAACACCUGGCUUUCCUGCUUAAUAAAUCGCGGGGACAGAGAUGGAGGGAUGUGUCAUAGGGUAGCAUUUAAGUUAGUGCUCGGCGUCCCCAGAGCCCUCCUGACGCCCUCCCAAUCUAAGGAUCUGGUCACGGAACAGUUGUGUCCAAGUCCCCAUUUCACAGAUGGAAACAUUGAGGCCCUGUAUGUUCCAGGGACAUCUAGGGAGAGAUCUCCCAAAGUGUACAAGCUUCUGGCCUCACAGAACCUGGAUCUGGUCCUGAAGUCAAUGAUGGAAGAGUUUUAGUGCCACAAAGGCCUUGAGACCAGUCUUCUUGCAGAGACAUCUUAAGUUGGGUUUUAAAGAGAGGACCCAGGACUUCCCUGGAAGUCCAGUGGUUAAGAAUCUGCCUGCAAAUGCAGGGGACCAGGUUUGAUCCCUGGUCCGGGAAGAUUCCACAUGGCAAGGGGCAGCUAAGCCCCUGUGCCACAACUACUGAGCCCUUGAACCUAGAGCCCUUGUUCUGCAACAAGACACCCCAAUGAGAACCCCAUGCAUUGCAACUAGAGAGUAGCCCCCACUCACUGCAACUAGAAAAAGCCCUCACAGCAAUGAAGACCCAGUGCAGCCAAAAAUAAAACUUUAAAAAAGAGAGGACCCAGUUGAGGAAGCAAACCAUAAAGACUGUGAGGCAAUUCCCUGACACAUCUGGACACACUGUUUCACAUGCUUACAGAAUCAUUGUUGGAGGAGCUCUCGUGACUGCCAAUUGACCCUUGAGCUGGAGUUGGGCAAUCAGAGGCAGCUCACCCCUCCCGUGUCCUUGGAAUGUAGUCUGCCCAUGAUUCCUCCAGUGGGACCUAUUUCAAGCAUGCAGCCUUGAGAGGGCAACAUGUUGUUGAGACCACCUGGAUGGUUUAGGUGACUGAACCUACUUAAGGCCUCAUAGAAACUUGGAGAUUCUGGUGGACAGCUGCAGAGAUCUACUCUUCUUCACCAUGACAAGCCUUGUGUGUAAGUUCCCUUGCUUUAAAAAAAAAAACAAAAAAAACAAAAAACUUUUUUAGCCACACUCCAUGGCAUGGAGCAUUAAACUUGUACCCCUUGCACUGGAAGGCUUAGUCUAAACCACUGGAUGUCUGGGAAGUUCCCGUUGCUUAUUAAACCUGCCACCUUCCAAUUUAGAGUGGUUGCCUCUUCUUCAUUCUGGGGGUCUUUGCCUCCAGUUGACAAAUCAACGUUGGUGGCAAGCCGACCAGGAGACCGAAGAAAUGGACCUUGGCAAAGAAGCACCUGCAUGGGAAAUCUUGGGACACGCAGGCUGGUCCAGUGAGCUUGUUUGAGGAACCACGCAGGGUGAACCACUGCAAAGGCGGGAGACGAAUAUCCUGGAGUGGGCUGUAAAGAUGGUAAAAGUAA